UGCAUGGACUCAGAAAUGAUGGCUGAAUUUCCUGCCAGUUGGAAGGGUCCCCUUUAAGGUUACGGUUGUGAAUUUAAACAGAGACUGGCCUGUCUCCAGCCACAAUCAGCUGAGCAGGUGCAGGCAUGGAUUAGGCAGAGAGCUGGAGUUUUGCCAAACAAGGAAGACAAGGUGAGAGAGGGCCCAUGGAGUGAAGGGUCUAACCAAGGGAGCAAUUAUCAUGAUGAACUACGAAGGCUGAGCUGUUACAGAACAGUGAUGACACGAUGGGGCUGAGGGACCUUGAAAAGGUGGCGGAUCAACAGAUUGAGGUUCCCUGGGCUGGCAAAGGAUUGCUGGAGUCAUGGUACCAGAGGAAGUGAGCUGGUGUGAGAGGAGGUGGAGACCAGAGAGUGAAAUUCUUAAAAUGGAGACUGUGGCCACUGUGUCCUGAGUCCUCAAAUCCAAUUUACAGAAAGGCCUUUGACUAACAGUUAAUGAAUAAUAAAACCACAUGCCUGGAAGCAACUUCAAGAGGUCCUAGUUCAGAUGACUUCACAUUCUCCCACCAAUUCUGAACAUCUUGGGGAAGAAAAUGCCACCACCCAGAUGCACAUGAAAUUUGGUGCCGUGACUCGGAUCGGGGGACCUCCCUUGGGAGAUCAAUCCCCUGUCCUCCUGCUCUUUGCUCCGUGAGAAAGAUCCACCUAUGACCUCAGGUCCUCAGACCAACCAGCCCAAGAAACAUCUCAUCAAUUUCAAAUCCGGACCCCACUGGAAAUCGGACUGUUCAACUCACCUGGCAGCCACUCCCAGAGCCCCUGGAACUCUGGCCCAAGGCUCUCUGACUGACUCCUUCUCGGCUUAGUGGCUGAAGACUGACGCUGCCCGAUCGCCUCAGAAGCCCCGUAGACCAUCACGGACGCUGAGCUUCGGGUAACUCUCACAGUGGAAGGUUACCAACUGAGAGUGAACACAGCAGAUCCAGUGUUGCAGGUUUGAGAAGAGAGAAGACGAAGUCACACUGUCACUCAGGCUGGAGUGCCGUGGUACAAUCUCAGCUCACCGCAACCUCCACCUCCCAGGUUCAAGCAAUUCCCAUGCCUCAGCCUCCCACGUAGCUGGGACUACAGACACACACCACCACGCCUGGCUAGUUUUUUGUAUUUUUUAGUAGAGACGGGGUUUCACCAUGACGGUCAGGCUGGUCACAAACUCCUGACCUCAGGUUAUCUGCCCGGCUUAGCCUCCCAAAGUGCUGGGAUAACAGGCAUGAGCCACCAUGCCCAGCCACUUUUAGUUAUUUUUAAAUGUACAAUUAAAUUAUUAUUGACUACAGUACUUCCGUUGUGCUAUCAAACACUAGGUUUUAUUCACUCUUAAUAUGCUUUUUUUAUACCCAUUAUGCAUCCCUACCUCCCACCCUGGGAUCCCACUACCCUCCCUAGAAUCUGGUAACCAUCCUUCUAUUCUCUAUCUCCAUGAAUUGUAAUGUUUUGCUUUUUGGUUCCCACAAAUAAAAGAGAAUUUGCAAC
rnacentral:lncRNA from 1 species